rnacentral:pre_miRNA from 1 species
UCUUUACUAUUAAGUGUGUCCCAUUCAAUAACUGGGAUAUACUUAUAAUAAAA